UAUCAAUUAAACAAACAUCUUUUAAACAUCUACCAUGGGGCCAGGUCCUAUCCUGUGUUCUGGAAAUACAAAGAUAAAUAGGACACAGGGCCUAUCCUCCAGGUACAUAAAAUCUGAUAAGGAAAAGAGACAAGCAAACACAUAAAUAACAUCUCAAGAAAUUUAUUGCUAUAUGUUUAAGCAUAUGCCCAACAAUUUUGAAAGAACUACAUGAAACAUUGAGAUCAAUAAGGAAAAGUGGAAGAUGACUGAACAGGGCAGAAAGGUCACAGUCCACUAGGAUCUGCAAGCCU
rnacentral:lncRNA from 10 species